GACUCCGGUGCCCCCUCCGUCGUUCUCCUCCUCCCCCUCUCCCCCGUCCUUCGUUUCUAGGUAAGGUUCUUGGUCUGGUUGUUGAUGCGUCCAAUGCUUUCUGCUACUGUUAAUGUCCAAGGUACGGGUCUGGUGCGAUUCAUAAUUUAUUGGGGAAACUUGUGGCUAGUUAGCUUAUUUGUGGCUGAGGGCAAUCCACUCUUUUUAGUUCGGGAUUUGAGCAAACUGUACGAUAGUUUUGUGGUGUUUGAUAGGACUAAGAGCAUCUGAAUCCUUCUGAAUUUCAUGUCAUGUUCAUUGGUGUGUGCCUUCAGUAACCAAAUGUUUCUGCUGAUUUUAAUCUACUCCAAGCACCACAUUUGAUUUACUAAUCUGGUCACAUUGCUCAGAGCAGCUUGCAUGUUUGAUCAGUUAUUUUCUGCAAUCAGUGUUCAGGUUGGCUCCAGUGGUAAUGAUACCAGUGUUACAUAUUUGGCUAAAUGAUAUUUAUGUUCUGAUUGAGAGGAACGCCAAAGUGGCUGGCAUUCCUACCUCAUAAGUAGAACGAACAUGAACAUGGCGAUUGGUUCAUAAUGUGUUGUGGGCACACAAAACGUUGGGAGCACUCCUCACAAAAUGUGCUCAACUACAAAAUUGGACGUUCUCUGCUUCGUAUUUUCAUAAAUUAUGGUGCACUGGUACAUAAACAUGGUUUAUUAGUUACUCGUUGUAUACCUAAAAUCGUAGCAUGACUCUGGUGUUGUGUAUUGUUCAAUGUUCAGCAAGCAAAGGAAAUAGUGAAAUUAAAGUUACAGUGAUUUUUCUGUUCUGAAAAGAGCUACAUAGAGUCGAGAAUGUCAACUUUUCAUUGUACUAAUAUUGCUUCAGUUUAAACUAUCCCACAUGAUUAAAUACUUUUACAUCUCCAAGAAAUAGAAUAACUGUAAAAUCCUAGAAUAUUUGUGAAUGAUGAGUUUGUUUUGUUGACAGAAUAAUGGUCGGAGGUGCUUCUGCUGAACCACAUUUGUGAAUGAGCAUAGAACUGCAGAGUUAUUUGUUAACAUUCAGCUACAGAAUUAUUUUGUGUAAGAUUUAGAUCAUCUCACUUCACUGUUGCGUGACCGUUGGUCUCUUCCUCUACCAUUCUGACUUGUCAUGGUUUGUAAUUUCCAGCUAUAUUUUCAACUGGAAAUAGAUCAUAAGAGUUACUUACUUGCCUUUGAGGUACUCAUAUAUGCUUAUGUUCAUGGCCUAUCACAGUUGUAUGUUCUUUGCUUAUAUUGCCAUCUUUCUGUAAUGAGCUUAUUUAUAGAAGUAAGUAUUUUUAG
rnacentral:lncRNA from 1 species